CUCGCGCCAAGUCUGGCGGUAGAUCUGCUGCAAGCAGGAGGGGUAGCCCCGUCGGCGGGGGGGCUAGGCUGAGAGCGCCCCCUUCGCUCCGCUUCCCCAGUUGAGUCUUCCCUCCUCUGUUGCCGAAGGACGCUGAGGGGUAGCCAGGGCAGCAACGGCGGAGCGCAGCGCCGCCUCCUUUCUCUUCCUCUCUCCUCCCUCCCGCCUUUCCUCUUCCUCGCCUGGGUCUGCGGAGAUGAGCCGCGCUGGAGACCGACGCCCACCUCGGCAAAGCUGGUGGGAGAGGAGGCGCUGGGGUGCCGGGCUUCCCUGAAGUGCCGUGAGGAUUCUGCCCGCCGGCGUCCGUCUGGAGUGAGUGGAGCGGCCGUCCCCUCGGCCAAGCGCUCCCGCCCCCCUCCUCUGGAUGCUGCCGCUGCUGCUGGUCCACGGCUGCCCCCCCUGCGAGGGCGCGGGAGGCGGGGAGCGCGCAUGGCGGCGGCGCAACAGCGGCGGCGGCGGCGGGGCUCGAGGGGGCGGCCCAGACAGCGUCCGAGGUUGCCGGGGCUGCGGGCGGUACGCUGGCGGCGGGCAGCCCCGUUGCGGCGGGCGCUGUGGCUCCUGGCCUUGGGAGCCUCGCUGGGUUUGCUGCUGGCGUGGUCGUCCAAUCGGCUCCUGCACUGGCUGGAAUUCCCGUCUCACACGACGGUGCGCACGGAGUGGAGCCGUCAGCUGGCCUUCCCGGCCGUCACAUUGUGUAACAAUAAUCCGCUGCGCUUCCCGCGCCUCUCCAAAGGCGACCUGUACUACGCCGGCAACUGGCUCGGCCUCCUUUUGCCCAACCGGACGGCGCGGCCGCUGCUGGCCGAGCUCCUGCGCGCCGAGCCCGAGCGCCUGCGUUGGUUCGCCAAGUUGGCCGACUUCCGGCUCUUCUUGCCACCGCGCCACUUCGGUGGCAUCAGCGAAGAGUUCGUCGACCGCCUCGGCCACCGCCUCGACGACAUGCUCCUCUCCUGCAAGUUCCGAGGCGAAAUGUGCGGCCCGCACAACUUCUCCGCCGUGUUUACGAAAUAUGGGAAAUGCUACAUGUUUAACUCAGGAGAAGAUGGGCAUCCUCUGUUGACCACAUUCAAGGGUGGGACAGGCAAUGGACUGGAGAUAAUGCUGGAUAUUCAGCAAGAUGAGUACUUGCCAAUAUGGGGAGAAACAGAUGAAACUACAUUUGAAGCAGGAGUCAAAGUCCAGAUCCACAGUCAGUCUGAGCCACCAUUCGUUCAGGAACUUGGGUUUGGUGUGGCACCUGGUUUCCAAACUUUUGUAGCCAUGCAAGAACAAAGGCUGACAUACCUUCCACCUCCAUGGGGUGAGUGCCACUCAUCAGACUUUGGCCUUGAGUUUUUCCCCACCUAUAGCAUCACUGCAUGCAGGAUCAGUUGUGAGACCCGCUACGUGGUAGAGAAUUGCAACUGCAAAAUGGUUCACAUGCCAGGGGAUGCUCCAUUUUGUACACCGGAGCAGUAUAAGGAGUGUGCAGAGCCUGCACUAGUGCUUCUUGGUGAAAAAGGUAACGAUUAUUGUGAGUGCCAAACCCCAUGCAAUUUGACCCGUUACAACAAGGAGCUCUCCAUGGUUAAGAUCCCCAGCAAGACCUCAGCUAAAUACCUUGAGAAGAAGUUUAACAAGUCAGAGAAAUAUAUCUCGGAGAAUAUCCUUGUUCUGGAUAUAUUCUUCGAAGCUCUUAACUAUGAGACCAUUGAGCAGAGGAAAGCAUAUGAAGUGGCAGCAUUACUUGGUGAUAUUGGAGGUCAGAUGGGUUUAUUUAUUGGUGCUAGUAUCCUCACUAUUCUGGAAGUAUUUGACUAUAUCUAUGAGCUGAUCAAAGAGAAAUUGUUUGAUCUUCUUGGCCCAGAGGAGGAAGAAGGAAGCCAUGAUGAGAAUGUGCUUUUGAGGUUGACAGAUGUGAAGAUUCAGACAGCUUCCUGAAGGGAUUGGAGGAAAUGGAAACAUUAGCAAUAUGGAAGUGCCUGAGGAGUACAAGGACAAUUAAGAUUAGAGCACGUGUGAACCCUUGUCAAACCACGCUGAUCCCACGAGCCACACUGUGACAGUCCCGCUGCAGACAACACUUGGCACGUUGGAAGAAAUUGCGUGCUGACAGUGCUUCCUCAGCACCAUGGAUGGCAGAACCUACAGAAGCCAGGGAAUCCUACUCAGGCUCACUAACAGGGUGGGGGAACCACUGAGGAAUUCGCUAUGCACCCAACUGUUCUCUUUCUCUCUUCUUGCCAAAAUCAGUGAAAGAUUCCAUGGACUCAGUUGCAUCAGCCUGUCCUACCAGGAUGAGUGGAGGAGGGUGGAGGAAGGGGCAAGGUUUAUCUCCACCAGCGGACAGCACAUCUCAGUUUCUGAACUGGAGAAGUGCGAUGACCAAGGAACCAUUCUUUCAUAGACAGCCUACAGUUAUACAAAGGAAGCCUGCAUGCCAGUCCUUUUGAUGGCAGUCUCUCUCUUUUUCCUUACAAGCCAUGACUCCAUCCAACAACUGUUCCUUUUUUUUGGCCACAACAAAAGUGGAGGCCAUGGCACAGACUUUCCUGCUCAAAAGUUUACCAUUAUUUAACAUCACAGCUGACUUAGAAGCAAGCAAUGGUCCAUUUUCAAGGGCCACCAUUCUCUUUUGUCAUAUGCUAAAUAUUUGACAGGGUGUCAAAGGUUCUGCUCAAAUCCUUGGGUAAGACAGCUUUUUGAUGACCAAGGUGAGCAUGCUCAAAUAGAAUGGCUCACCUCAUCUACCAUUACAGACCACUUCUUACAUGCAGGCACCCACAAACACACCAGCCCCAUUGGCACUAGUUAGCCAUACAGCUACUGUCUUGUUCAGAUUGGCGUGUAAUGCAACAUGUGUGUGUCCCAGGAUUGGGGGAGGCUGGGUCCAGUUACCUUUCUGACUUGCCCUGCUUCCUCGUUGUUAACAGCAUUAUUAAAGGUGGUCUUGUGGAAGGGGACAAACUGUCAUUUCUGCUUAUUCCACCUUUGUGGAUGUUUUACUACAACUUGGGAACUAUCAACAUUAAAAAGAAUAAAGAAAAAAUAUGUCCUCUUAGGCUAUUUAUAAGCAAUGUUUUAACAGUUUCCAGAGAGGUAGCUCUGGUAGAUUGUGUAAGUCAUGUGAUAGACUUACCAGAGGUUGACUGAACCCAAAUCUCUGGGUUGCACGAUACAUGCAAACUAACACACAAACUAGAUUCAUACAA